UGGAUAGCUCAGUUGGUUAGAGCAUCAGGUCCAAAGCCUGAGAGUCGCGGGUUCGAUUCCCGCUCCAA
rnacentral:tRNA from 1 species